GUCUACAGCCAUGCCACCCUGAACAAGCCCAAUGUCUGAUCUCAGAAGCUUAGCAGGGUCGGGCCUGGUUAGGACUUGGAUGAGAGACCACCUAGGAAGACGGUGCUGCAGGCA
rnacentral:rRNA from 1 species